UCGCUUCAGAAGCGCAUAUACUAAAACUGGAAUAAUACAGAGAUGAUUAGUUUAGCCCCCACACAAGGAUGACACACAAAUUCGUGAAGCAUUCCACAUUUUU